UGACAUGGGAUGCAUGCCACAGUAUGGAAUCCCUUUAAAACUCCUCAUAAAGCAUCCCUAAAAGCUUCAAUUAGAUGAUGAGUCCAUUGGUGCCAUAACUGUCCUUAUUGGAACGUCAUUGUUUUUAAGACUAAAGUAAGUCACUGCCUUAUGCCACUCAAGUUCGAAGCUCUUGUAGUCAAUUCCAAGUCCGGCCAAAGGUUCUGCAUGUAUGACUUACAUUCCAGAAUUCAGAGAGCGCCUCAGCAAGAAGAACAUGAGAACACUACACACCAGAAGACACAAGAACUCAGCAAUUUCAAUGAAUCUGGUCCAGUGCUGGGAUGGUAACUUAUGCUCCUUAUCCGGUGUCAUUCAUCUCCACGGCAACGCUUGGGAGAGGAGGAUGGCGCCAGCCGGUUUUCUGCGUACAAAGAUCAAGGACAACCACCAGCUCCACAACACAUCCUUGUCUGAUUAGCAAAUAGGCAACACUUUAUCUGUUGAUUAAAUGUAUCAGGUCAUAUUUAAGCAAAUAAUGAAAGUGCAAUAAAAGUAAAAUAGUUUUCACCAGCCAGCAUGAAAUUUCAAAUAACCCAUGCACUAGAUGUAGAAACAUGCAGUUGUGAUGUCAAUUAACACAACCCUUGUCAGAAUAGGUUUUUCAAUAUUAUAUAAUUCAGUUUGUUCUUCAACUCUGAAAUGACCCUUUUAUUUUUUCACAUUACAUAGCGAUCCACUUUUAGACUCGUAUGGCCAGUAGGAGUGUCACAAAGUAAGAUGUAUGAGGCGUACAGCUCAUACAACUUUGUCAUUUGUCAAUAAACUUGGGCCGCAUAUCUGUGGUUAAGAUUUGUACACACUUUGACAGUUAGGAAUGUGCAAUCGUGCUGACAAAAUGGAAAGGUUUUCUUAAUAGGGAUAGUUUGACCUGGGAACAGAAUAUUUAUUGUCAAAUUUAUUGAAAUGUUUAAAAGGUCAACAGGCAUUUUCUUACAGGUCAUCUUCACAUCUUAAAGCCCCGAGCCACAAUACUUCAGAAUCAUCUUUAUUGGCCACUUAUGAUAAACGUAUGAUAAAAGGAAUUUGUCACGUCUGAAUCAUUUGGAGCCUCGCUGUUUAAUCAUGGGCCCAUUGUUUUCCCGCAAAAAAUGGGUAGAACCCCACCGUGGCCUUUGGCCCCAGCAGCACGUCUGAAGCCCAAACAACUCAAGUGUGUUGCAGCCAGUGUGGUUUUAAUUACAAGCUCAAAGGACAGUUCAAGUUUAUGUGGACGCGUGGGUUAAGAGGUACAGAAUUGUGGGGG